GACGAACGCUGGCGGCGUGCUUAACACAUGCAAGUCGAACGGAAAGGCCCCACUUUUGUGGGGUGCUCGAGUGGCGAACGGGUGAGUAACACGUGAGUAACCUGCCCUUGACUUUGGGAUAACUUCAGGAAACUGCGGCUAAUACCGGAUAGGAGCUCCUGCUGCAUGGUGGGGGUCGGAAAGUUUCGGCGGUUGGGGAUGGGCUCGCGGCUUAUCAGCUUGUUGGUGGGGUAGUGGCUUACCAAGGCUAUGACGGGUAGCCGGCCUGAGAGGGUGACCGGCCACACUGGGACUGAGACACGGCCCAGACUCCUACGGGAGGCAGCAGUGGGGAAUAUUGCACAAUGGGCGGAAGCCUGAUGCAGCAACGCCGCGUGCGGGAUGACGGCCUUCGGGUUGUAAACCGCUUUCGGCUGUGACGAAGCGUGAGUGACGGUAAUUGGUAAAGAAGCACCGGCUAACUACGUG
rnacentral:rRNA from 1 species